rnacentral:rRNA from 1 species
UACGUAGGGUGCAAGCGUUAAUCGGAAUUACUGGGCGUAAAGCGUGCGCAGGCGGCUUUGCAAGACAGAUGUGAAAUCCCCGGGCUUAACCUGGGAACUGCAUUUGUGACUGCAUGGCUAGAGUGCGGCAGAGGGGGAUGGAAUUCCGCGUGUAGCGGUGAAAUGCGUAGAUAUCGGAAGGAACGCCGGUGGCGAAAGCGACUUCCUGGCCUGCAACUGACACUGAGGAACGAAAGCCAGGGGAGCAAACGGG